UACGUAGGGUGCGAGCGUUAAUCGGAAUUACUGGGCGUAAAGCGUGCGCAGGCGGCGCGUUAAGACAGGUGUGAAAGCCCCCGAGCUUAACUUGGGGAAUUGCGCUUGUGACUGGCGUGCUGGAGUGUGGCAGAGGGAGGUGGAAUUCCACGUGUAGCAGUGAAAUGCGUAGAGAUGUGGAGGAACACCGAUGGCGAAGGCAGCCUCCUGGGCCAGCACUGACGCUGAGGCGCGAAAGCUAGGGGAGCAAACAGG
rnacentral:rRNA from 1 species